AAGACAUACAUAAUAUCCGUACUAGCAUGCUUCGAGGGAAACACCUAGAUAAAGAUGAUUGUAAGAGUACAGACAAGCUAUUAACUGGUCCUUUCAAAGAUGAUGUCAUAUUUUAUCAGCCACUGGGUAAGGAUCAGGACCUUAUUAUUGUUCUCCAGACUGAGUUCAUGAGAAAAGACUUACAAGACUAUGGGAGUAACAUUUUGUUUUUUGAUGCUACACACUGUGUGAAUCAAUAUUCCUUUCCACUCUAUACAUUGCUUGUGAGAGAUGACCAUGGUCAUGGUGUUCCUGUUGCAUACAUAAUAACGAGCAGGGAGACCCAAGAAACCCUUAAGCUUGCACUUCAGAGGCUACGACCUGUGUUCCCUAAGCCGCCAAGGUGCUUCAUGGUUGACAAAGACAUGAGUGAAAUUAAUGCUUUGAAUGAAGUUUUCCCUGAAUCUGAUGUUCUUCUCUGCUGGUACCAUGUACUUCAGGCUGUCGUUCGGUGGUUGAUGAAGACCGAAUCUGGUGUUACUGGGCCACACUUCUCAAAUACCCGGAGAGAAAUUCUAGAUUUCUUUAAAAAAAUGAAAGCUUGUGCAACGAAGACUGACUUUGAAAGGGUUGCAAAAAAAUUUCUUAGCAACUUUUCUCACUACCAAGAGGUUUGCAAGUACUUCCAGAGGUACUGGGAACCAAUAAGUCAAAGAUGG